rnacentral:tRNA from 1 species
GGAAGAUUGACUGAAAGGCAAAGUACCAGCUUGGAAAGUUGCGGUCAGGGUAAAACCUGUGCAGGUUCGAUUCCUGUAUCUUCCU